rnacentral:rRNA from 1 species
GACGUAGGGCGCGAGCGUUGUCCGGAUUUAUUGGGCGUAAAGAGCUCGUAGGCGGCUUGUCGCGUCGUUCGUGAAAACCUGCGGCUCAACUGCAGGCUUGCGGUCGAUACGGGCAGGCUGGAGUUCGGUAGGGGAGACUGGAAUUCCUGGUGUAGCGGUGAAAUGCGCAGAUAUCAGGAGGAACACCGGUGGCGAAGGCGGGGUCUCUGGGCCCGAUACUGACGCUGGAGGGAGCGGAAAGCGUGGGGAGCGAACAGG